rnacentral:rRNA from 1 species
GACGAACGCUGGCGGCACGCCUAACACAUGCAAGUCGAACGGACUCAAAAGAGCUUGCUUUUUUAAGUUAGUGGCGGACGGGUGAGUAACACGUGAGCAACCUGCCUCUGAGAGGGGGAUAGCUUCUGGAAACGGAUGGUAAUACCCCAUAAAAUAUAAAUAUCGCAUGAUAGAUAUAUCAAAGAAAUUCGCUCAGAGAUGGGCUCGCGUCUGAUUGGAUAGUUGGUGAGGUAACGGCUCACCAAGUCGACGAUCAGUAGCCGGACUGAGAGGUUGAACGGCCACAUUGGGACUGAGACACGGCCCAGACUCCUACGGGAGGCAGCAGUGGGGAAUAUUGCACAAUGGAGGGAACUCUGAUGCAGCGAUGCCGCGUGGAGGAAGAAGGUUUUCGGAUUGUAAACUCCUUUUAUCAGGGACGAUAAUGACGGUACCUGAAGAAAAAGCUCCGGCUAACUACGUG